AUGGCGACGCCGCAACCCGCGGGGCUGACGCUGCGGCCAGGAGUAGUGUUCAGGCCCAGCGGCCGCCAGCUCAUCACGCUGUACCUCGGCCGCAACGCGCUCCGCGGCGAGCUCCCCGACGCCGCCGUCAUCCCCGGCGGCUGCGUCGUCACGGCGGGCGUGGACGUCUUCUCCGCGAGCCCCGGCGCGCUCCCCUUCCAGGCGAGCCACAGGGGGGCGCACGGGGAGGUGUGGGGCUACUUCGCCGCCGCGGCCCCGACCGCCGACAGCGCCCAGCCUGCGCCGGGCGGGUGCUGGGUGCGGCAGGGCGCCGAGAAGCGGUACGAGCUCAAGGGGGAGGCGCUCGGCUACCGGAGCAGGUGCGCGUUCUACGCCACGCGGGCGGUGCGGGCUCGGGUGGUGUGGACGCCGACGCGGUGGCUGAUGAAGGAGUACCGCCUCGACAAGGGCGCCGCCGUCUUCCGCAGCAAGCUGCCCGACCACCCCAACGCCAACAUGGAUUUCGUGGUCCGCAAGGUCUUCACCAAGCCGGCGGUUCCCGUGCCGCCGCCUGCCCGCUCCGGCUUGGUGGUCCGGCGGGUAGGAGGCAGCGUUCCGUCGCGCCAAGCCCAACCAACCCGGGCGGCGUUCGUCAAGGCCCGAGGGGGCGCUCCACCGCUACUGCCGUGUGCCCGCCCUGGCGAGGCGCUCCGGCCAGGAGGAAGCCCCCUUCCGCCGCGCUCGGACCGACCACCUAAGGUCAUCGCGAAGCAGGUGAUCCUUGCCCCGCCUGCGCACUCCGGCGUAAACGAGGACGCCGGCAACCUCAACGACAAUGCCAUGUCGUGGACGCGCGUCGGCGGGGAGUACAACUACAACUACAAGGUACCCAGCGGCCGCCAGAUCAUCGUCGAGUACCUCGGCCCCAAGGCGACCACUGGCAAGAUCGCCGACCGCGCCGCCCCGGGCUCCGUCGCGGAGGGCGUGGACAUCUUCGCGGCGAGCCCGGACGCGCUCCCCUUCCCGCCCAGCCACAGGAAGCAGGGCGGGGAGGCGUGGGGCUACUUCUUCGCGGCGAAGCCCGCCAGCAGCAUGCGGCGGGCGCCCGGCGGGUGGUGGAUGCAGUACGGCGACGCGAAGGGGUACGAGUUCCGCGGGGAGGUGUACGCCCGCCACCGCAGGUUCGCGUUCCGCGCGGCGCGGGCGGACGACGGCGGCGGCAAGGUGACGUGGGAGCAGACGCGGUGGCUGAUGAAGGAGUACGCGCUCCACAAGGGCGCGUCCGCCUUCCGCGGCGCGACAGCCGGCCCGGCCGGUGCCAACAUGGACCUCGUGGUCUACAAGGUGUUCACGAAGCCGGUGGUCACCCCGCCGCCGCCAGCCCGCUCGAGCGAGGCGGAGAACCAGGCGAGGAAGGGCUCAGAUGCGCCCAGGAUUGUUUUCGACAUUGAUUUGAACAACUAA
rnacentral:rRNA from 1 species